rnacentral:hammerhead_ribozyme from 1 species
GCACUACUGAGGAGUCCCAUAAUAGGACGAAACGGCCGUCCAGUUC